AGCGAACGCUGGCGGCAGGCCUAACACAUGCAAGUCGAACGAACCUUUCGGGGUUAGUGGCGGACGGGUGAGUAACACGUGGGAACGUGCCUUUAGGUUCGGAAUAACUCAGGGAAACUUGUGCUAAUACCGAAUGUGCCCUUCGGGGGAAAGAUUUAUCGCCUUUAGAGCGGCCCGCGUCUGAUUAGCUAGUUGGUUGAGGUAAUGGCUCACCAAGGCGACGAUCAGUAGCUGGUCUGAGAGGAUGAUCAGCCACAUUGGGACUGAGACACGGCCCAAACUCCUACGGGAGGCAGCAGUGGGGAAUCUUGCGCAAUGGGCGAAAGCCUGACGCAGCCAUGCCGCGUGAGUGAUGAAGGUCUUAGGAUUGUAAAAUUCUUUCACCGGGGACGAUAAUGACGGUACCCGGAGAAGAAGCCCCGGCUAACUUCGUG
rnacentral:rRNA from 1 species